AGUUUCGUUUUCCAAAACUGACGUCGACAAAAGCGCGCCUGGGUGACCGCCAGGGGGCGUCUACUACAAGCCACCACCGACCGGUCAGUGGGUUAAUUAACGAUAAUCAACAAAGGAUCUAUUGCAAUCAACACACUAGCCACUGAAAGUGUCCCGUCUAGGCCUACGUAUGAAGAGGAACUGACUCAGGCUUUGGUGCUAAGUGUGAGCAGCUCAAUGAAGGAGGUGAAGAGAGUAUCCAGCCAGCUUUGGUUGGCCAUGCACUGCUGCACCACCUCCUCUUGGCCGGGGUCCUCAGCCGCCUGCUCAAUGGUGUGCGUCUGCAAGAGAAAACAGCAGCUCAGAAAAAGGUCCAUUCAGAAGGUGGGACUGUUACUGGCUUUCAGAAGGCAGGACAACAUUAUGCAGGUCUUUAGUGGUGAAUUUACAUGGGAGCAGGAAAAAUGACUGUUCCUAUUAGCAAUUUGCCCUCCUCCAAUUUAAAUUAUGAUUCUUUUUUGAAGAGGCUGUUGAAUAAAUUUGAAAUUACAUCAACAGGU